UCCCCGGUGGCGCAAUUGGCUGUGAGUACAACCGAGCUUCUGCACCACCACCAACAAAUACUGACUAGUCCUAAAGAGCGCGUUCGACUGUUAUACAACAUUAAAUCGAGAGGUUGAUGGUUCGAGCCCAUCCCGGGGAG